UACGUAGGGGGGCAAGCGUUGUCCGGAUUUAUUGGGCGUAAAGAGCGUGUAGGCGGCUAGAUAGGUCCGUUGUGAAAAACUCGAGGCUCAACCUCGAGACGCCGAUGGAAACCAUCUAGCUAGAGUCCGGAAGAGGAGAAUGGAAUUCCUGGUGUAGCGGUGAAAUGCGCAGAUAUCAGGAAGAACACCCGUGGCUAAGGCGGUUCUCUAGUACGGUACUGACGCUGAGACGCGAAAAGCGUGGGGGAGCGAACAGG
rnacentral:rRNA from 1 species